rnacentral:rRNA from 1 species
GACGAACGCUGGCGGCGUGCCUAAUACAUGCAAGUCGAACGGUCUUUUCUAUGGAAGCUUGCUUCCGCUGAGAAGAUAGUGGCGAACGGGUGAGUAACACGUGGGUAACCUGCCCAUAAGAGGGGGAUAACAUCCGGAAACGGGUGCUAAUACCGCAUGAGACCACAGAGCUGCCUGGCUCAGGGGUCAAAGGAGGGAUCCGGUGAGAGAUGGGCUCGCGUCCUAUUAGAUAGUUGGUGGGGUAACGGCCUACCAAGUCAACGAUGGGUAGCCGACCUGAGAGGGUGAUC